rnacentral:lncRNA from 1 species
AGGAAGCUAGCUCUUCAGAUUUCUUCAGAGGGUUCUGUUCAGUUGAACAAAGCAGCAACAACAUAAAUGUUUCUCUAAACCUUCAGGCUGAUUCACUUUGACAGAUACGCCUUUCAGAUGAUUACCAAACCAUUUGAAACUAAUUUCCUUCUCUCCCAGAAAAUUCCCCAAGUGACUGAGAGCUUAUAUUUUCCUGGAACUGAAGACGUGAAUAAGGAUUGAUGUAAUUUUCAUCUGUAAUAUUUCCAGAGAGGAAUUGGGCACAUCUUGACAUUUAGGGAACAGUAGUUAGUAGUAAAUGUUUCUCCAGAGUUUUUAGACUCCAUCGUCACUAUUUAUUAUAGAUUGGAAAUUCAUUUUGGUGGUCUGCUGGUCCAAGACAGUGAAUCACAACCCAAAUAUCAGCCCCUCCCCAUCAAAAGAAGAGAUUAUUCUGUUUCUGGUGUCUAAGGAUUAUUAAAUAUUUGAGAUGAAUUUAUAUUAAUAUGUUACCUUAAAUACAAACAAUCAACAAAAGAUUAAGCUGUCUGUUUUGUGAUCUUAUUUAUUUCUUCAAGAAACAAUGAAAACUUCUCAUUUGGUUUUGGAACUUACUAUUUGGAACUUUAUGAUACAGGAUAUUGUAUGUUAGCCUGAGUCCACCUCCCCCCUUGAAAAAGGAUAGUCAAAUAAUAAACUUUGCCAACUCUGAGGCUCUGUGUAUUCCUGUUCCUGCUCUGAGUGUCCAGGAAGAACAGCAGACUCCUAAGAACAUUAAUGAAAACAACAACAACAACAACAGCAACACGUGAAGGUUACAUUCACAGAGAGAUCUGCCAUAACCAGCACAGCAGCUGGUUGAAAGCUACAGAAGAGACUGAACUGAUUCAAUGCAUGUCAAGAGUUUUUUGUUUGUUUGUUUGUUUUAUUUUAAGUUCUGGGAUACAUGUGCAGAUGUGCAGGAUGUGCAGGUUUGUUACAUCGGUAAACAUGUGCCAUGGUUUGAUAGGUGGUUUGCUGCACCUAUCAACCCAUCACCUAGGUAUUAAGCCCAGUGUGCAUUAGCUAUUUUUCUUGAUGUUCUCCCAACCCUCACCCCCUGACUGGCCCCAGUCUGUGUUGUUCCCCUCCCUGUGUCCAUGUGUUCUUAUUGUUCAGCUCCCACUUAUAAGUGAGAACGCAGUAUUUAGUUUUAUGUUCCUGCAACCCAAAGGAAUAUAUAUCCUUCUAUUAUAAAGAUACAUGAACCUGUAUGUUCAUUGCAGCACUAUUCACAAUAGCAAAGAGUUUUUAACUAUGAGUUCCUUUAAACUUCUUUAUCAAAUAAUUAGCAUUGGAAAAUAUCAUCAUCUAGAAGUUUCUGCGGAUGUCUACUCACAGUAGACUGUGUCUUCGUAAAUGGAUGGGCCACCUCAAAGAUUUUGGUAAGAGUGGGCAUAAAUGGGCAUGUAAGUGAUCA